UUUGCGUCUUUGUUAAUCUUCCGUUCCUCUCUCUUUCUCUCCCUCGUCUUCUCCUCUUUUCUUCCGCUUAAGGGCCUUCUUUGUUCGAUUUUUUUCGCUUUGAUUUUUAUAUUGCUUUGGAUAGAAAAAAGGUGUGACCUUUUGUCUAUUUUAUUCCUUUUUUUGUCUAAUUUUUUGUGGUGAUUUUUGGGACAGGCUAACGGCGGUGCUGAAGGUCACAGCGCUUUGCCCAUGCAAGGGCCUUCUUUGUUCGGUUUUUUCCCUCUUUGGUUAUUAUAUUGCUUUGUACGGGAAAAAGGUGUAACCUUUGUCUGAUUCCGACGAGGUUCCACGCAAAAAAGGCUAACGACGAUGCUGAAGGUCACAACGCUUUGCCAUGGAAGGGCCUUCUUUGUUCGAUUUUUUUCCGCUUUGGUUUUAAUAUUGCUUUGGACGGGAAAAAGGUGUGACCUUUGUCUGAUUUCGACGAGGUUCCAUUUUUAUCUAUUUUCCCCUUGGACGAAAAAAAGGUUAACGGCGGUGCUAAAGGUGACGAUGUUUUGCCAUGCAAGGGCCUUCUUUGUUCGGUUUUUUUUUUUCGCUUUGGUUUUUAUAUUGCUUUGGACGGGAAAAAGGUGUGACCUUUGUCUGAUUCCGAUGAGGUUCCAUUUUUAUCUAUUUUCCCCUUGGACAGAAAAAGGUGUGACCUUUCGCAAUAAUAUGAUUCACAGGGCAGUGUUGAAGAAUAAAGGAUGGUGAAGCUGCAACUGAGGAGGUGAAAAAGAGUUACCAUGUUCUGAGACAAAUAGAGUGAUGAUGACCCCAUUUUGAUUGAUGGAGAAAUUUUUAUGUUACUUUGUUUUAACAUUUUAAAGUUGUAAUUUAAUCAUUAUGGUUUUCAGACAAUGCAUUGUAUUGUUUAUAAUUUGCUGAAAAACGUAAAU